rnacentral:rRNA from 1 species
UACCGAAGGCAGCAGUGGGGAAUAUUGCACAAUGGGCGCAAGCCUGAUGCAGCCAUGCCGCGUGUAUGAAGAAGGCCUUCGGGUUGUAAAGUACUUUCAGUCGUGAGGAAGGUGUUAAGGUUAAUAACCUUAGCAAUUGACGUUAGCGACAGAAGAAGCACCGGCUAACUCCGUGCCAGCAGCCGCGGUAAUACGGAGGGUGCGAGCGUUAAUCGGAAUUACUGGGCGUAAAGGGCACGCAGGCGGUUAAUUAAGUUGGAUGUGAAAUCCCCGGGCUUAACCUGGGAAUGGCAUUCAAGACUGGUUAGCUAGAGUCUUGUAGAGGGGGUAGAAUUCCAUGUGUAGCGGUGAAAUGCGUAGAGAUGUGGAGGAAUACCGGUGGCGAAGGCGGCCCCUGGGACAAAGACUGACGCUCAUGUGCGAAAGCGUGGGGAGCGAAACAGGAUUAGAUACC